rnacentral:rRNA from 1 species
AGCGAACGCUGGCGGCAGGCCUAACACAUGCAAGUCGAACGAACCUUUCGGGGUUAGUGGCGGACGGGUGAGUAACACGUGGGAACGUGCCUUUAGGUUCGGAAUAACUCAGGGAAACUUGUGCUAAUACCGAAUGUGCCCUUCGGGGGAAAGAUUUAUCGCCUUUAGAGCGGCCCGCGUCUGAUUAGCUAGUUGGUUGAGGUAAUGGCUCACCAAGGCGACGAUCAGUAGCUGGUCUGAGAGGAUGAUCAGCCACAUUGGGACUGAGACACGGCCCAAACUCCUACGGGAGGCAGCAGUGGGGAAUCUUGCGCAAUGGGCGAAAGCCUGACGCAGCCAUGCCGCGUGAAUGAUGAAGGUCUUAGGAUUGUAAAAUUCUUUCACCGGGGACGAUAAUGACGGUACCCGGAGAAGAAGCCCUGGCUAACUUCGUG